UAUGCCAGAAUGGAAGCAUAUGCUCUACAAAGACAAGCUGGGUGAAGGGAAUAUCUUUUUAUUGGACCAACUUCUGGUGGUGAGAGAGACAAGUUUCCGAGCUACACAGAGCUCUUCUUCA